CCUACGGGGGGCAGCAGUGGGGAAUAUUGCGCAAUGGGCGAAAGCCUGACGCAGCGACGCCGCGUGAGGGAUGAAGGUCCUCGGAUCGUAAACCUCUUUCAGCAGGGAAGAACGGUCACUGUGCUAAUCAGCAGUGAAUUGACGGUACCUGCAAAGGAAGCACCGGCUAACUCCGUGCCAGCAGCUGCGGUAAUACGGAGGGUGCGAGCGUUAAUCGGAAUUACUGGGGGUAAAGCGCUCGUAGGCGGUAUGUCAAGUCAAGGGUGAAAUCCCCGCGCUCAACGUGGGAACUGCCUUUGAAACUGGCAAACUGGAGUGUGUGAGAGGAUAGUGGAAUUCCAGGUGUAGGAGUGAAAUGCGUAGAUAUCUGGAGGAACAUCAGUGGCGAAGGCGACUAUCUGGCACAUAACUGACGCUGAGGAGCGAAAGCGUGGGUAGCAAACAGGAUUAGAUACCCCAGUAGUC
rnacentral:rRNA from 1 species